CUAAGCAUUUAAAAUGUAAAGAGUACUUUUGGGUGUCAGAGAAAGUAAAAAUUACAUUAUUUUCUAUAGAAAUGUCGUGAAGUAAAAGUAGUKAAAAAUAUAAAUAGUAAAGUACAGAUACCCCAAAAAACGAAUUAAGUAGUACUUUAAAUUAUUUGUACUUAAGAAAUGUACACCAACCACUGCAUGCAGCCAAUAGAGACCCCCAAACAUUACAUAUUUCUAACCCAAAAAAAUUCUAACUCGGUUUAUAAUUUACUAUUCCUGUACUGUCCGUUUCUGUUGAAAUGUAGAUCAUGUGCAAAGCAAAAUUGUUUAAUUCCAACAUGAAUUCCAAAUGUAUACAGAAUUCCUUAAAUAGAUMGGAAAACAAAAAGCAUGUAAACGUAAAACAAUUAUAAUGGAUGCAAAUCGAAUGUACGAGAACACCUAAUGUUGUCCUACUUUUUUAUGUAUCCUAUUAUUUUUAUGUAAAUCAUGGUCAGACCUUUGUCUAUAUGAUAUUGAAAAACUAUUUCGCUUAAUAUUAUAAAAUGUAAUUAUCGUGACUAAAAAUACAAAAAAGAAAAGCGCGCCUCUUCGUAUGUAUUUAACGUCAUCAAGGUGCGACUCACAGGAGAAGUGCUCGGUCCUUACACAUGAUAAUMUGUCAAUAAAAACUUUAAAUGCCUAGGAAAUAUUCGUAUCAUAUCAGGCGAACGCUGGAUUAUCUCCAGAAAACAGAGUGUUACAGUAAAUUACAACACACAGACAGCUCAGCGACGGAGCAAGCGAGGUCCUGCAAGCAGAGGCUCUAGCCAGGAUGGAGGCUGCUAACCCAGCCAACYUUGGGCCUGAGAAGUACUGUCUGAAAGAGUAUUUGAGGUGGAGGUCCCCUGCCCCAGCACCACCCGAGGAGAUGACAGGGAAAUACCGCGCCCAGAUGCUAGCUGCACAGGACUAAGACUGGACAGCAGGGGGGGGUGAAGGAAUCAUGGACUGAACUGUUAUUUAGUAGUAUAUCAUGUUUCACUGGAAAUAUUGUGGAUGUUUUUCUGUACAAUAAAGGAAACCAGACAGGA